GUGCCAGCAGCUGCGGUUAUACAAAAAAUACAAGUAAAUUUUAUUAAAUUAAGUUAAAUUGUAAAAUAUUUAAUAAUAAAAAAAUUUUUAGGUGAAAUUUUAAUUUUUUUAUUUUUAAAAAAGGAAAAUUUAUUGAAGCUAGAAAAUUUUGUUAAUAAACUAGGAUUAGAUACCCUAUUAUUAAAAAAUGUAUUUUAAAAAGUUAGAGUAGUAAUAGUUAUGUUCUUGAAACUCAAAAAAUUUGGCGGUAUUUUAGUCUAUUCAGAGGAACCUGUGGUGUAAUCGAUAAUCCACGAUGAAUCUUACUUAUUUUUGUUUUUCAAUUUGUAUACCGCCGUUAUUUAAAAAUUUUUUGAAAAUAAUAAUUUUUAUAAUUUUUUAUUAAAGAAAAAGUCAGGUCAAGGUGCAGUUUAUAUUUAAGUAUUUCAUGGGUUACAAUAAAUUUAUUUAUAUGGAUUAAAUUAUGUAAUUAGUUUAUGAAAGUGGAUUUGGUAGUAAAUUUUUAAAGAUUAAAAAAUUGAUUUUAGCUCUAAAAUAUG
rnacentral:rRNA from 1 species